rnacentral:rRNA from 1 species
CCUUAUGGUUGUAAAGCACUUUAAGCGAGGAGGAGGCUACUUUAGUUAAUACCUAGAGAUAGUGGACGUUACUCGCAGAAUAAGCACCGGCUAACUCUGUGCCAGCAGCCGCGGUAAUACAGAGGGUGCGAGCGUUAAUCGGAUUUACUGGGCGUAAAGCGUGCGUAGGCGGCUUAUUAAGUCGGAUGUGAAAUCCCCGAGCUUAACUUGGGAAUUGCAUUCGAUACUGGUGAGCUAGAGUAUGGGAGAGGAUGGUAGAAUUCCAGGUGUAGCGGUGAAAUGCGUAGAGAUCUGGAGGAAUACCGAUGGCGAAGGCAGCCAUCUGGCCUAAUACUGACGCUGAGGUACGAAAGCAUGGGGAGCAAACAGGAUUAGAUACCCUGGUAGUCCAUGCCGUAAACGAUGUCUACUAGCCGUUGGGGCCUUUGAGGCUUUAGUGGCGCAGCUAACGCGAUAAGUAGACCGCCUGGGGAGUACGGUCGCAAGACUAAAACUCAAAUGAAUUGACGGGGGCCCGCACAAGCGGUGGAGCAUGUGGUUUAAUUCGAUGCAACGCGAAGAACCUUACCUGGCCUUGACAUACUAGAAACUUUCCAGAGAUGGAUUGGUGCCUUCGGGAAUCUAGAUACAGGUGCUGCAUGGCUGUCGUCAGCUCGUGUCGUGAGAUGUUGGGUUAAGUCCCGCAACGAGCGCAACCCUUUUCCUUACUUGCCAGCAUUUCGGAUGGGAACUUUAAGGAUACUGCCAGUGACAAACUGGAGGAAGGCGGGGACGACGUCAAGUCAUCAUGGCCCUUACGGCCAGGGCUACACACGUGCUACAAUGGUCGGUACAAAGGGUUGCUACACAGCGAUGUGAUGCUAAUCUCAAAAAGCCGAUCGUAGUCCGGAUUGGAGUCUGCAACUCGACUCCAUG